UAACAAUAUUAGGUGUAUUUAUAACCCCUUCUGGAUAAAUGUAUUCAUCCUACCCACUGAUCCUGGCAAGCAGAUGCCCAGAAACACUCUGUCGCUAUAUAAAUG